CAGCAGCCACGGUAAUACGUAGGUGGCAAGCGUUGUCCGGAAUUAUUGGGCGUAAAGGGCUCGCAGGCGGUUUCUUAAGUCUGAUGUGAAAGCCCCCGGCUCAACCGGGGAGGGUCAUUGGAAACUGGGAAACUUGAGUGCAGAAGAGGAGAGUGGAAUUCCACGUGUAGCGGUGGAAUGCGUAGGGAUGUGGAGGAACACCAGUGGCGAAGGCGACUCUCUGGUCUGUAACUGACGCUGAGGAGCGAAAGCGUGGGGAGCAAACAGGAUUAGAUACCCGCGUAGUCCCUGUCUCUUAUAC
rnacentral:rRNA from 1 species